rnacentral:rRNA from 1 species
AGAGUUUGAUCAUGGCUCAGGAUGAACGCUGGCGGUGUGCCUAAUACAUGCAAGUCGAACGGGCUCUUCGGAGCUAGUGGCGGACGGGUGAGUAACACGUUGGUACCUACCCCUAAGUGGGGAAUAACUGCCCGAAAGGGUGGCUAAUACCGCAUAAUCCCGCAAGGGUAAAGCAGUAAUGCGCUUAGGGAGGGGCCUGCGUCUGAUUAGCUAGUUGGUGAGGUAAUUGCUCACCAAGGCGACGAUCAGUAGCUGGAUCGAGAGGUUGACCAGCCACACUGGGACUGAGAUACGGCCCAGACUCCUACGGGAGGCAGCAGUAGGGAAUCUUCCGCAAUGGACGAAAGUCUGACGGAGCAACGCCGCGUGAGUGAUGAAGGUUUUCGGAUCGUAAAACUCUGUUGUUAGGGAAGAACAAGUGCCGGAGUAACUGCCGGCACCAUGACGGUACCUAACCAGAAAGCCACGGCUAACUACGUGCCAGCAGCCGCGGUAAUAC